rnacentral:rRNA from 1 species
UACGAAGGGGGCUAGCGUUGCUCGGAAUCACUGGGCGUAAAGGGUGCGUAGGCGGGUCUUUAAGUCAGGGGUGAAAUCCUGGAGCUCAACUCCAGAACUGCCUUUGAUACUGAAGAUCUUGAGUCCGGGAGAGGUGAGUGGAACUGCGAGUGUAGAGGUGAAAUUCGUAGAUAUUCGCAAGAACACCAGUGGCGAAGGCGGCUCAGUGGCCCGGUACUGACGCUGAGGCACGAAAGCGUGGGGAGCAAAC